CCCCGCCGCCUGCGGCCUUCCCCGCCGUGGCAGGGCGCUGUGGCCGGCGGCAGCGGCUCCCAGCCCGCCCCCUGCCCUCCGCGCCUCCGAGGCUUGCACGCCCCUGCCCCCACCGCGGCCGGCCGGGAGCUUUCCCCCUCCUUGCCGCUCGCAGGGCUUUGUUCGGCUCCGCGGGACGCUCCAGACCUCCGCACAGGGCACGGCAGGGCUCGGGCCGGCUGCCCCGGUACCCCCCUCCCCAAGGCGAAACCCAUGUCCUCUGCUUCCAUCCGCUCGCCGACGCUGCGGCCCCACAGGAUGAAAAAAGACGAGUCGUUCCUGGGCAAGCUCGGCGGCACCCUGGCGAGGAAGAAGAAAGCCAAGGAGGUGAGUGACCUGCAAGAAGAAGGUAAAAAUGCUAUAAAUGCUCCAAUGAACCCAAGCACUGUGGACAUGCAUCCAGAAGAUACUUUCUUAGAGGAGAAUGAGGAGCGCACUAUGAUUGAUCCUAACUCCAAAGAAGACCCCAAGUUCAAAGAACUGAUCAAGGUUCUAAUUGACUGGAUUAAUGAUGUGCUGGUGGAGGAGAGAAUCAUUGUCAAACAGCUUGAAGAGGACCUUUAUGAUGGGCAGGUGCUGCAGAAGCUGCUAGAAAAAUUGGCUGACCGUAAACUGAAUGUAGCAGAAGUGACGCAAUCUGAAAUUGGUCAGAAACAAAAGUUGCAGACUGUUCUGGAAGCUGUCCAUGAUUUACUUCGACCCCAUGGCUGGACAGUCAAGUGGAACAUUGACUCAAUACAUGGCAAGAAUCUGAUUUCCAUUCUUCACCUUCUGGUAGCUUUGGCAAUGCAUUUCCGGGCUCCCACUCGACUGCCUGAACAUGUGUCUGUACAAGUGGUGGUUGUACGGAAACGCGAAGGCCUUCUUCAGACAACUCAUGUUACAGAGGAGCUGACGACUACAACAGAGAUGAUGAUGGGAAGAUUUGAGCGUGAUGCCUUUGAUACACUCUUUGAUCAUGCACCAGACAAACUCAGCGUAGUCAAAAAGUCUCUGAUCACCUUUGUGAACAAACACUUGAAUAAACUGAAUUUGGAAGUAACUGAGUUAGAAACCCAGUUUGCAGAUGGCGUUUAUUUGGUUUUGCUCAUGGGUCUUCUUGAAGACUAUUUUGUUCCACUUCACAACUUCUACUUAACGCCUGAAAGUUUUGAUCAAAAGGUCCACAAUGUUUCCUUUGCUUUCGAGCUGAUGCAAGAUGGAGGACUCAAAAAACCAAAAGCUCGUCCUGAAGAGGGAACUGGGUUUUGAUGCAGAGGAAGCAAUGAUUGAUUCUGCUCAUGUCUCACUGGGAAUGCUAUGGUAGUAAGCAGCUUUCUGUGAUACCUGGAAAACUUAGAAACAUAUUUCGUAUAUCCAGAUGUUGUCAAUUUGGAUCUGAAGUCUACCCUCAGAGUUCUAUACAAUCUGUUCACAAAAUACAAGAAUGUGGAAUGAUCCUGGAAUCUGCUGAGGUCUUCAUCAUACCAGCCUCCUUAGGCAAAAAAUACAAUAAAAAUACCCUCUGCACACUC